rnacentral:tRNA from 1 species
AAGAAUUUAGUUAAAAAAAUAACAUUGGCUUGUCAAGCCUAAAUUAUCUAAAGAUAAUUCUUU